AAUAAGACAGAGAACAAUGGAACUCAACUCAAGAAUCCUGGCAUUACAAAAUUCGCAACUCGAUAAAGCACGUAUCGAGAGCUAUAUCGCUGAAAUUUCUAAAUAUUAAUGAUGUCUUCUCUCGACGACGGAAAUAAUGCAUCAACCGCUCGAAUCUGUCCUUUUUCUUGACUAUACAAUAAAGGUUUGAAGAGAAAUUUUAUUUUAUGCGUCAUAAAAUCACAUCUCAUACCACGCUAUCGUCGUCAAACCAUAAAUUGCGAUGCGUUCGCCAUGCAUUAGUGAUAAAUGAUAAUUAUACCUUUGUAGCGAUCUUGGUUCUAGACUCGUGUCGCGGCCCACGUGUACCACAUGGCUAUAAAUAAUUUUAGCGAUGCCCUUGCCGAUCUCAUCUUAUUAUGAUUAUUCAUUUAUAAAUCAUGUUAUACAUAAUAUUAGAAUUAUUCGCGAUUGGAAAUUAAAAUUUUUUAGUAAGGCAAAACAUAAAAUUUGAAAAUACGCAGUAAGGUGAUAUAUUUACGAAUAUCAAUUGUUAUUACAUUG